rnacentral:ncRNA from 2 species
GUAUAUUUGCAGGGGCGCCACUGGCUGAGAUGGAUGAAUAAUCCUGUCCCUUUGAACCUGAUGUAGUUAGUACUACCGUAGGGAUGCAAAAAAGAAAACUAA